GAAGGUAGCGCAAUCACUUGUCUUAUAAAUGGAGACCUGUAUGAAUGGCACAACGAGGGCUCAACUGUUUCCUCUUUCCGGUCAGUGAAAUUGAUCUCCCCGUGCAGAAGCGGGGAUAACAACAUAAGACGAGAAGACCCUGUGGAGCUUUAGACACCAGGGCGGAUCAUGUUAAAGCCCCUCCACACGAAGGAUGUAAACAUAAUGAACCCCGCCCCAUGUCUUUGGUUGGGGCGACCGUGGGGUAGUAAGUAACCCCCAUGUGGACCGAGAGCACCUCUCCCAGAAGCAAGAACUACAGUUCUAACUAACAAAACCUUUGACCUAUAAGAUCCGGCUACGCCGAUCAACGGACCUAGUUACCCCAGGGAUAACAGCGCAAUCCCCUUUGAGAGCCCCUAUCGAUAAGGGGGUUUACGACCUCGAUGUUGGAUCAGGACAUCCUGAUGGUGCAGCCGCUAU
rnacentral:rRNA from 1 species